AAGGAUCAUUAUCGAAUAAACUUGAACAGGCUGUUGCUGGUCCCAGGACAAUGUGCACGCUUGUCAUCUUUAUCAUUUCUCCCAACUGUGCACAUAUUGUAGACCCUGGAGGGUUUUGGAUUUGUUCCGAGUGGGGACUGCUGUGCUUCAAAGAAAAAGAAGUCGGCUUUCCCUUGAACUUUUAUCCAGGUCUAUGUCAUUUUUCACGACCUCUCGAAUGUGUUUAGAAUGUAGAAAAGUUGAUAAAAUACAACUUUCAGCAACGGAUCUCUUGGCUCUCGCAUCGAUGAAGAACGCAGCGUAGCCAUCGAUGUGGAAGUAAAAGUCGUAACAAG
rnacentral:misc_RNA from 1 species